rnacentral:rRNA from 1 species
GACGAACGCUGGCGGCGUGCCUAAUACAUGCAAGUCGAACGCAUUUUCUUUCACCGUAGCUUGCUACACCGAAAGAAAAUGAGUGGCGAACGGGUGAGUAACACGUGGGUGACCUGCCCAUCAGCGGGGGAUAACACUUGUAAACAGGUGCUAAUACCGCAUAAUUCCAUUUACCGCAUGGUAGAUGGAUGAAAGGCGCUUUUGCGUCACUGAUGUAUGUACUCGCGGUGCAUUAGCUAGUUGGUGGGGUAACGGCCUACCAAGGCUGCGAUGCAUAGCCGACCUGAGAGGGUGAUCUGCCACACUGGGACUGAGACACGGCCCAGACUCCUACGGGAGGCAGCAGUAGUGAAUCUUCGGCAAUGGACACAAGUCUGACCGAGCAACGCCGCGUGAGUGAAGAAGGUUUUCGGAUCGUAAAACUCUGUUGUUAGAGAAGAACAAGGAUGAGAGUGGAAAGUUCAUCCCUUGACGGUAUCUAACCAGAAAGCCACGGCUAACUACGUG